rnacentral:lncRNA from 1 species
AUUUAAAGCAAUAAAAUAGGAGUAAUGGUUUUUAUAUGCAGAUAAAUGACCGGUUAAUUAACAAUAAUCAUAUUUUUAAAUAAAUAUUCCAUUUAAUGACGUCAUGCACAUGCUUACUUCGUAAUGUAUAAUGUCAUAAUGUCAAUGUCAAGUUGUCAAGCAAACGUCAAAUUUUAUUUCCAUGAAAACUUCUGGAUUAUUGUUUAAAUCAUAGAGGUAUAUAUUAACAUAGAGUGAGCCCUCACUCCGCCACCACUGACGACAAGAUCUCUUCGACUGGUUUGCGGUAUCUCUUUCUAGCACAAUGUAUCGAGAAACAUAACAUGAAACUAAGUGGGGGUACGGGACGGCAAGUGAAAUAAGGAGAAUUACUUUAUUCUUCUUUUUUCUUUAAUUAUUAUGACAAGUGACAAGACAACAUAACCCAAAUAAUUUAAUCCGGCCCUAUUUCUAUUUUUGAACAAAAUGUUGGAAAUAUCUUAGUUUAUUUUUAGUUCUAGCUUAUUUAUGGCUAGAUUGAAAAUCUGAAUUUUCUAAUAUUGGUUCAUGAUUAUCAUCAGGGACUUGAUUCGGUUCUUAAACAGGAUCUCUUUUAGUCCCAAUCACUGCAGCAGUGGAGCUAUGUUUUUAUUUUCACGGUGCUAGUAGAUGGCGAAUAAAUCGUUUAAUUUUCAAUAUUUUUUUAUGAAAAUUGUUUCACAUGUACUUUUUAUAACAAAUGUUCAGUAGUAAUAACCAGAGGACAUUGAUAAUUGUUCGAAAAAUUUUUAUAACAGAUUUCAAAAGCUUGUUCCUUGGAAACAGACCGACGCCGUAGGCGGAGGUCUGUUGCCUGUAAGCAACAAGCUUGAGAAAGUUGUUAAAAAAUUUUUGAGCAUUUAUCAAUGUUCGAGGGUUAUUCGGAUAGAAAAUUUUUUGCUGAUAUAAAAUUAAUAACAAUUUCAUUAAUAUUCUCAUCAGUAUUACAACCAAAUCGUGACAUUUUGAAAUAUUGAAUAUUUGAAAUGUCAAAAUUGAAAUGAAACGAAAUGUAGGUAUCCAUAGCUACAUGAUUGAGUGAAAACAGCCCAUGGGAUCUGUUUUCAGUAUAAUGUUGGUUUUAUUGGUUGUAUUCAAUCAGAUGACCACAAAUUAAUUGAUUUCAUUGGAUUUCUAAUUGAGCAAAAAAUUUUCAAAAUAAUUGGUACAGUACUUUUUAUUUUAGAAAUUCCCAAAAAAGUAUAUGAAUUUCAUACUUUUACACUAGGAUAGCCCUUUAAGAAAGGUAAAUUUCUAGAGCUGCCUAAAGACAGCCAUCAUUAUUCCUCUUCAUAAGGGUGGUGAAAAAUCUAAUGCCUGCAAUUAUAGACCUAUUGCAUUACUACUGGUACUCUCAAAUAGGACUCAUAUUACACAAGUAUAAAAACUUGUUGCUGGUAUGAGCACAUUGUGUAAAUGUUAGGAUUUAAAGAGGAUAUAAAAACCUUCAAUACAAUUAUGAGCGUUAGUCUCUUUAUAUCCUAACAUUUUUUUUGUUAUUGUUUUAGUUUAUUAUUGUUUUUUAUGACUCUGUAAGUUUUGUGUAUAAAUUGUACAAUUUUCCAUGACAAUAAAGCAUUUUUCUAUUCUAA